AUAUGAUUAAAAAUAUACAGUGAUAGCUGACACUUUUUUAGCUGUUGGAAAACAAUUCUGAUUCAUUCCAGCAUAAUGUUUUUUUGUUUUGUUUUUUUCUCUAUUAGUUAAAAUCACUUUUCCUUCCCCUUGCAAAUCCAGUUCCUUCUGUUUGCUGAAGCAUCUUUGGCGCAGGUUUUUAUUCUUGCUCAUGGAAAUAUGUGAAUACGUUUGAAAUGAUCAGUGUUGCAGCAUGGCCUAGGAAGGAGAGUCACAGAGCAGAGAUUUUGAGUCAGCUGCUGUUAUUGUAGUGUGCAAAGGAGGUGAACUUGCUUGCAUACCCAGGAAAGAUCACAAGUAUCCAGCCCCACAGAAAUACUGUAUUAUUGUUGUCACUCCGAGACCAGAAGAGCUUUUUGAAGAAGUUAUCUACCGUAGAGAGGAGCUGCAAUACUUAGUAAUUUCUGCAGAAUGGCCUCAUAGAAAUAUGGUUCCCGAAUUAAUAAAGAC
rnacentral:lncRNA from 1 species